rnacentral:rRNA from 1 species
GCGCGUCUACCAUGCNAGUCGAACGAUGAAAGCACCAGCCUUGCUGGUUGUGGAUUAGUUGGCGAACGGGUGAGUAACACGUGAGUAACCUGCCCCUCACUCUGGGAUAAGCCUGGGAAACUGGGUCUAAUACUGGAUACGACCGAUCUCCGCAUGGAGUGUUGGUGGAAAGUUUUUGUGGUGGGGGAUGGACUCGCGGCCUAUCAGCUUGUUGGUGGGGUAAUGGCCUACCAAGGCGACGACGGGUAGCCGGCCUGAGAGGGCGACCGGCCACACUGGGACUGAGACACGGCCCAGACUCCUACGGGAAGGCAGCAGAA